AAAAAUGUUUUGGGAUUGUUAAUCUGGUCCACUCUUUUGAAGAAAACGGGUAAUAUACCUGCUUAGGAUCGUAGACAGCAUACUCGUUAUAUUCCAGGGGGCUAUCUUGAUGAUCUGAGGCGACUAGUUUACCGCAAGGAACUUUUAUAUCAUCUUUCCAAACAAAGUGUUCUGAUUCAUCUGUUUUCUUCUUCCCCAGUCCCUUCACUCCAAGCUUCUUUUCCUCCAAAGACGAAGUAUCCUGUGUCAAUGAUGUUGAAAACAAAAUAAUUGUUUCGAGUUGGUGAUGUCGAAAACAACUAAUAAAUGCUCUUAGUGAAUGAAGAUAACAAGUCUAUUUUGGAUACCUCGGGUGGGCUUUUGAACUCGGUAACCUCGUUCCCUAGGGAAGCAAUGGCCAAAACCAGGAACCCUUCUGGCCUGUCAACAGCAGUAAAACCAUACCGUGCAGCCUCUGCUGCAGCAUCGGAACAGACUAUAGCUUUGCCAAAC
rnacentral:lncRNA from 1 species